rnacentral:sRNA from 1 species
GAGUUCAAGACUUAUCACAAAGCUUUAUCGUCAGAGUUCAAGACUUAUAACAAUGCUUUCAAAAGAUCAAAAUGAACUCUUAUUUUUUUUCUAACUUGCCUGAGAACUAUUUUCUAUCUUGAGACAGUAUCAUAGAUUUCUUAAAAAAAUAUAUUUAAAUUUUAAAAAUGUACGUGAUACAUGUAUGAUAUAUAAUUUUUCCACAUAUCCAUUAAAAAUAUGUUUUUUUUUGUAUAAUUCUAGCAACUGUCUCAAGUCAAUGUAUAUUAAUUUAUUUAUAACAUGUAAAUGUACAUAACUUAAAUGUACAUAAACUUUGUGUACAUAACAAGACGCGAACGAUUCUGAUGUAUCACCCACCUACAGAGGUAAUUGGGAACCUACAGAGACCCCAUUCAUUGUACAAGGGACACAACUAAAAGCAUAAGAACUGUUGUUAUUGGUUAUUUCUCUUGACAUGUUAAUUGAGAUGACAGCCAGACAUGAAUAUGUGUAUUUAGUGAGUCAUAAUAUACAAACAUUAAAAGUAACAUCUGUAUUUGCAUGUUCAGGUAUGUAUGUCUGGAAUGAUAUCCUCUGUUGUCACCGUGUUUAAGUGAAUGGUCACAUUUAUGUGGUAAAUAUGUUUUUUGUAUAAAAUUGGUAAAUAAUCUAAUUAUAAAAAUGCAUUAUUUUAAAGAAAGUUGUGUGUCCUGCAUUUAGUUCAUGAAAAAUGGCUGAUGGAAGAUGUGAAUGACGAGAUCACUAGAGAGAGUGAGACAAAGGCGGAAAGAGAUUGCGCGCGUGCAUGUGCAUAGAUAUUAUAUAUUUUAUACCAUUAAAUUCAAACAGACUUAACGACGUAUACUUGUAGUCUCCUGUACAAAGUAAUUUUUGUAUAUUACAUAUAAGGAUGUAAUAAAUCUAGUUUAACUGUAUACGUGUGUUUGUUAAACCAUGGUUAAACUAGAGAACUCACUUGUUGAUAGUAAAAGAUGAUGGAUCACCGAGUGCACGCCUGUCAGGGUAUUCCCGAUCUGAGAACGCAGCUCACUUUUUAAACAUUGUGUUGGUGACUUAAAGUUUACCUUCAAUGGAUUAGUACUUUCAAGUAAUUUCAAGUACUUUUUAGUAAUUUCAAGAUGUAAUGGAUUAAAAUAAUGUUCGACUCGUUGCGCCAUCUCUUGAGGUGUCUAUAUUUUGUGGCUCUAAUACUUGGCGAUCUUGUGGUUGUCCAGCGUCACCUUGUCCUGCGCCUGAUUGUCCUGUCUACUAUCACAGUCAUGUCCUCGGCAGAACUCUUUCUAAGGAUUCGGCGUUAUGUUAAAUUCAUCUGUGAUUAUAGAUAACUUCAAUACGGAUCAACAGCCAAGGUGGAAGGCAGAUACAAGUUACAGUGAUUUGUACCUGCGUCCCAUCAAAAACUCGAGGUCAGACAUCAAUAACUCCUACGCUCCUGAACCGAGAGUCUGGAACUCGCUUCUUCCUCCGAUCAAGCUCAAAACAAAUUUCUUCCUCAGCUUUAAAUGCACAUAAAGACUGGUCCAAAAUAUACCUGGACUAUUGUUCUCU